AGGACACGCUGGCGGCGUGGAUUAGGCAUGCAAGUCGAACGGUAUCAUCCUUUCGGGGGUGAGAGAGUGGCGAACUGGUGAGUAACACGUAGGUUAUCUACCCUCAAGACGGGGACAACCCAGGGAAACUUGGGCUAAUACCGGAUGUGAGCAACUUUUAGUUGUUUGAAAGGUGGCGUAAGCUGUCGCUUGGGGAUGAGCCUGCGUCCUAUUAGUUAGUUGGCGGGGUAAAGGCCCACCAAGGCGAUGAUAGAUAGGCGGCCUUAACGGGUGGUCGCCCACACUGGGAUUGAGAUACGGCCCAGACUCCUACGGGAGGCAGCAGUCGAGAAUAGUCUACAAUGGCCGAAAGGCUGAUAGUGCGACGCCGCGUGAACGAAGAAGCCCUUCGGGGUGUAAAGUUCUUUUAUAUGUGAGCAGUGCUUUCUAUGUGAACAGCAUGGGGAGAGAGAUAUUAGCAUAUGAAUAAGCAACGGCUAACUCCGUG
rnacentral:rRNA from 1 species